GUACAUGUACUUUGAUCAGAGUUAUUCAGAAAGUCUUUGUCUAGAGUGUAUGUCUUAUUUUUUUUUUUCAAUUUGCCUUUAUUUUUCUCGUUUUGACAUGUUUUAUAACUCAUACUCCAAACUGAAAUCUUCAAUGGAAGUAAUUGUAAAAACCUUCCAGGAAUUGUAUAGCCUUCUCAAAUGCAUUUACCUUUUGCUAUGUACAUGUACCUUGUGUAUAUAACAUUUCAAACCAAGACCCCUAAUCCAGAGCUGUGUGUACAACACGAGCAAAUAAAAAUCAUUAAUAUAAACAAAGAAACAUUUUUGACUGUGAUUGUAAACAUGAUCAUGCUUGUAUGAAGGGAUUUUUUGACACUCAUUAUCUGUAGCAGCAUGUUGAACAGCUUGUCUGAUAAGCAUUGUAGUUCCUUUGGUAUGUUGUGUCUCUUUAUUCACUACUUCUUAACAGAAUCAUUACUUGUUGAGUUCAACCUUUCAUGAUGUGGUUUAUUUCCGUACAUUUGGUAAUGGGGAAAUUUGAAUGUAAAGAUGGAUUAUGAAAAUAUUGCAGUGUGUACUUCAAGGAGAGCAAGUGAGAUAAGAUAGCCUAGCCAAAUUUUUUCUCUAGUGCUAAAUAUGCAGUUGUUUUGGAAUAAAAUUAGUGGUUGAAGUUAAUAUUUAAGAAUGACGUUUUUGUAAAUGUAUAAAUUAAUAUUUAUGAAUUACCAAUUGUCUAAUGUAUUGCUUUUUCUUGGAAUUGAAUGAUGCACAUGUGCUACAUUAGUACAAAGAUGAUUGUAUUUCCUUACUGUUAUUUUAAUUAAUAAUAAAGGCACUGUGAUA
rnacentral:sRNA from 1 species